rfam:Salmo salar isolate Sally breed double haploid chromosome ssa02, whole genome shotgun sequence.
GCAUUGUGGUUCAGUGGUAGAAUUCUUGCCUGCCAUGCGGGGGACCUGGGUUCGGAUCCCAGCCUGUGCA